AUGAGGACUUUAUGUUUUCAUUGGCCAAUGAAUCAUCACGUCAGAAAGGUGAAGAGACCCUGCACUGGAAGCCAGAAACGAGAGUGCUCCACUACAGAGCCACAGACCCUGAGGAUGUCACCCAAGAGAAGCCAGGGACCAUCCAGGCAGCAGAUGAAGCAGAAGAGGAAGCCCCACGCCACCUUCUCCACCAUCAGAAAGCUGCAAACUCAGAGGGAUCCAAACGUGCACCUACCUCCACUGGCAGGAGAAGCAGGUCUCCGAGGGUGUGUGAAGCUCAAGAAUAGGUAAAAUAACUUCAAGAAACUGGAUAAAAAUGAGUUCCUGCCCAGUGGGAUGCUCCCUAAGGCUUUUCCCUCUCUGAUUUCUGUUUGAUGAAUCUCUGAAAGUUUUCGAGUGGGAGGAAAACACUUAAAAUGUGACAUUUCCUGGCAAAUGCCUGCCCUGUGAUCUGCAUGAAAGCAGGGGAGGGAUGCUGCUGGUGAUCAGCAAGCAGAGUGGCUAGGGAAACCCGUGGCUGGGCAAGUAAAGAUGCCCAGUCUCCCCUGUGCAGGCUGCGGUUCGGCCGUCAUGGUAAAGCAGGUCAGGCCUGGGCAGGGAGACUGUGGCAUCAGCAGAGCUGGGGACAAAAGCAACCUGUUUCCCCAGGGGGGGGAAAAGAAAACCCACCCCCAAAAUAUUCCAUAAAACCCAACAGCCAUGUCGCUGUGUGUGAAAUGAGCCACGGUGUCACCCACCACUUCUGGGGCAGCAGGAUGGUGUGGUGUCAGAGACCACCAGGGCCCAUCCAGGAUGGUUACCUAAGGGGACAAACUGGUGGUUAGUGGAGUCAGGGCCAGUGAUCCAAUGGGGACAAGUAGCCCCAGGGAUGUUUGAUACCAAAGGGCUUUUUUAUGGCUGAGGAAUUGUGGAGCUGCCUACGGUAUGAAAUCAUUCCCUGCAAGUCUCUCUGCCAGCUGCACAUGAAGUAACUUGCAAGCAGGUUUGGGGCUUAAAAGCUACCUGUGUGGAAAAAGUUAAAUGCCCUGAAUCCUUGAGAGUUUAGUGCCAAAACACCUCUCAGGAUCUUGGUGGAAGUGCCUGACGUCCUGCUGGGACAGAGCCCAGCAGAUAAAUGCUCUGGAACAAGAAUGUGUUGCUGUAGGGAAGCAGCUAAUUCAUAGCUUCUUUCAGAUGUCACAAAAUAAAUAAUACCACAGGCACA
rnacentral:lncRNA from 1 species